UACGUAAGUGGCGAGCGUUAUCCGGAAUUACUGGGCGUAAAGCGUGUGUAGGCGGUUUAGUGUGUGGGAAUUGAAAGCCCGGGGCUCAACUCCGGAUCCGGUUCCCAAACUGCUAGACUCGAGAGUAUCAGAGGAGAGCGGAAUUCCCGGUGUAGCGGUAAUAUGCGUAGAUAUCGGGAGGAACACCAGUGGCGAGGCGGCUCACUGGACCGGAACUGACGCUGAGGGCGCGAAAGCGUGGGGAGCAAACGGGG
rnacentral:rRNA from 1 species